rnacentral:tRNA from 1 species
GACUGCGUAGCUCAGUUGGAUAGAGCAACUGUUUCCUAAACAGUAGGUCGCGCGUUCGAAUCGCGCCGCGGUCA